CUAACACUGGUUCGAGAGCCUCCCAGAAUAAAAAACUAAGGUAUU
rnacentral:ncRNA from 1 species